rnacentral:rRNA from 1 species
ANAAGUGAAUUGUACUAGAAGUCUGCAGGCUGACCUCGCAAGAGGGGGCAGCGGCCCAAGGUAUGAUCCAUGAUUGGGGUG